GCAGAGGGGUGCUAUACUGCAGUCGAGCGGACAGAUGGGAGCUUGCUCCCUGAUGUUAGCGGCGGACGGGUGAGUAACACGUGGGUAACCUGCCUGUAAGACUGGGAUAACUCCGGGAAACCGGGGCUAAUACCGGAUGGUUGUCUGAACCGCAUGGUUCAGACAUAAAAGGUGGCUUCGGCUACCACUUACAGAUGGACCCGCGGCGCAUUAGCUAGUUGGUGAGGUAACGGCUCACCAAGGCGACGAUGCGUAGCCGACCUGAGAGGGUGAUCGGCCACACUGGGACUGAGACACGGCCCAGACUCCUACGGGAGGCAGCAGUAGGGAAUCUUCCGCAAUGGACGAAAGUCUGACGGAGCAACGCCGCGUGAGUGAUGAAGGUUUUCGGAUCGUAAAGCUCUGUUGUUAGGGAAGAACAAGUGCCGUUCAAAUAGGGCGGCACCUUGACGGUACCUAACCAGAAAGCCACGGCUAACUACGUGCCAGCAGCCGCGGUAAUACGUAGGUGGCAAGCGUUGUCCGGAAUUAUUGGGCGUAAAGGGCUCGCAGGCGGUUUCUUAAGUCUGAUGUGAAAGCCCCCGGCUCAACCGGGGAGGGUCAUUGGAAACUGGGGAACUUGAGUGCAGAAGAGGAGAGUGGAAUUCCACGUGUAGCGGUGAAAUGCGUAAAGAUGUGGAGGAACACCAGUGGCGAAGGCGACUCUCUGGUCUGUAACUGACGCUGAGGAGCGAAAGCGUGGGGAGCGAACAGGAUUAGAUACCCUGGUAGUCCACGCCGUAAACGAUGAGUGCUAAGUGUUAGGGGGUUUCCGCCCCUUAGUGCUGCAGCUAACGCAUUAAGCACUCCGCCUGGGGAGUACGGUCGCAAGACUGAAACUCAAAGGAAUUGACGGGGGCCCGCCAAGCGGUGGAACAUGUGGUUUAAUUCAAAGCCACGCGAAGAACC
rnacentral:rRNA from 1 species